rnacentral:rRNA from 1 species
CUUAGUGGCGGACGGGUGAGUAACGCGUGGGUAACCUGCCUUAUACAGGGGGAUAACAGUCAGAAAUGACUGCUAAUACCGCAUAAGCGCACAGGGCCGCAUGGUCUGGAGUGAAAAACUCCGGUGGUGUAAGAUGGACCCGCGUCUGAUUAGGUAGUUGGUGGGGUAACGGCCCACCAAGCCGACGAUCAGUAGCCGACCUGAGAGGGUGACCGGCCACAUUGGGACUGAGACACGGCCCAAACUCCUACGGGAGGCAGCAUG